CAGCAGUCGCCACGGUAAUACGAAGGGUGCAAGCGUUACUCGGAAUUACUGGGCGUAAAGCGUGCGUAGGUGGUGGUUUAAGUCCGUUGUGAAAGCCCUGGGCUCAACCUGGGAAUUGCAGUGGAUACUGGGUCACUAGAGUGUGGUAGAGGAUAGUGGAAUUUCCGGUGUAGCAGUGAAAUGCGUAGAGAUCGGAAGGAACAUCUGUGGCGAAGGCGACUAUCUGGGCCAACACUGACACUGAGGCACGAAAGCGUGGGGAGCAAACAGGAUUAGAUACCCCCGUAGUCCCUGUCUCUUAUAC
rnacentral:rRNA from 1 species